AACGAACGCUGGCGGCAUGCCUAACACAUGCAAGUCGAACGAGACCUUCGGGUCUAGUGGCGCACGAGUGCGUAACGCGUGGGAACCUGCCCUUAGGUUCGGAAUAACUCCCCGAAAGGGGUGCUAAUACCGGAUAAUGUCUUCGGACCAAAGAUUUAUCGCCUUUGGAUGGGCCCGCGUUGGAUUAGCUAGUUGGUAGGGUAAAAGCCUACCAAGGCGACGAUCCAUAGCUGGUCUGAGAGGAUGAUCAGCCACACUGGGACUGAGACACGGCCCAGACUCCUACGGGAGGCAGCAGUGGGGAAUAUUGGACAGUGGGCGAAAGCCUGAUCCAGCAAUGCCGCGUGAGUGAUGAAGGCCUUAGGGUUGUAAAGCUCUUUUACCCGGGAUGAUAAUGACAGUACCGGGAGAAUAAGCGCCGGCUAACUCCGUG
rnacentral:rRNA from 1 species